rnacentral:rRNA from 1 species
AGCGAACGCUGGCGGCAGGCUUAACACAUGCAAGUCGAGCGGGCAUAGCAAUAUGUCAGCGGCAGACGGGUGAGUAACGCGUGGGAACGUACCUUUUGGUUCGGAACAACACAGGGAAACUUGUGCUAAUACCGGAUAAGCCCUUACGGGGAAAGAUUUAUCGCCGAAAGAUCGGCCCGCAUCUGAUUAGCUAGUUGGUGAGGUAAUGGCUCACCAAGGCGACGAUCAGGAGCUGGUCUGAGAGGAUGAUCAGCCACAUUGGGACUGAGACACGGCCCAAACUCCUACGGGAGGAAGCAGUGGGGAAUAUUGGACAAUGGGCGCAAGCCUGAUCCAGCCAUGCCGCGUGAGUGAUGAAGGCCCUAGGGUUGUAAAGCUCCUUUGUGCUGGAAGAUAAUGACGGUACCGCAAGAAUAAGCCCCGGCUAACUUCGUGCCAGCCGCCGCCGUAA